GCGGACGUGGUGGAAUUGGCAGACACGCCAGAUUUAGGUUCUGGUGCUAACGCGUGAAGGUUCGAGUCCUUUCGUCCGCACCA
rnacentral:tRNA from 1 species